UGGAGCUAUCCUCCGGCGGCAUAAGCCGUCAAGCUUCUGUGUGAUCUGUUACUGUGCAGGUUCUAGCGGGUGGAUUCUGUGAUUGGACUCGCCGGCGAAACUUGACGUUAACAAUGCUUAAUAUACAUUUCAGUUAUGAAAGUGAAUAGUCUCCAUCUUCUUUCAUCUUAUCAUCUUUGCACAGUAGCAUAAAUUAGAGGUUCAAAAAAGUGAGUUGCUAUCACUUAGAACAUAUAUAGGCUUUGAUAUAAAAUCCUGG
rnacentral:lncRNA from 1 species